GGGUCAGGAGGUUGGUCGUGCCACCGGUACGUACUGGUCUCACUGAUUCCUCCUUCCUGAAGAACCGUAAUGCCAUUAAUUCGGUGUUGCGGGGAAAUAGGACUGUUACUUUGAAAAAAUUAGAGUGUUUAAAGCAAGCUAACGCUUGAAUACACUAGCAUGGAAUAAUGAAAUAGGACGAUCGAUCCUAUUUUGUUGGUUUCUAGGAUUGACGUA
rnacentral:rRNA from 1 species